GGCUAAUCCUCCAAGGGUCAGUCGGGGGCUAAGGCGAGGCCGGAAGGCGUAGCCGAUGCACAGCGGGCCGACAUUCCCGCACCCCCGGAAGGGCGCUCGAACCGAUGGGGCGACGCAGGAGGGUAGCUGGACGGGGUUCUGGACGUCCCCGCGAUGGCGCGUAGGGCGGCUCCCAGUGAAACGCGGGAGCCACGGGGCCUGAGGCGCCGGACGAAGCCACGAGGCGAAGCCAGUGAGCCCAUGCUGCCGAGAAAAACCCCUAGGGAGCCCGACGGGGCCCGUACCGCAAACCGACACAGGUGGGUGGGUAGAGAAUACCAAGGCGAACGGGAGAACUAUGGUCAAGGAACUCGGCAAAAUCGCCCCGUAACCUCGGGAGAAGGGGCGCCGGCCUGGGUGGGGGGACACGCUCCCCGAGCCCGGUCCGGCCGCAGCGAAAAGGUCCAAGCGACUGUUUACCAAAAACACAGGACUCUGCUGAAGUCGUAAGACGACGUAUAGGGUCUGACGCCUGCCCGGUGCCGGAAGGUCACGAGGAGCCGUCAGCGCAAGCGAAGCGGCGAAUCCAAGCCCCGGUAAACGGCGGCCGUAACGAUAACGGUCCUAAGGUAGCGAAAUUCCUUGUCGGGUAAGUUCCGACCUGCACGAAAGGCGUAACGAUUUGGACGCUGUCUCGACCAUAGGCCCGGUGAAAUUGCACUAGUCGUGAAGAUGCGACUUACCCGCGGAAGGACGGAAAGACCCCGUGAACCUUUACUGCAGCUUGGCAUUGGCUGCCGGGGCGCCGUGUAGAGGAUAGGUGGGAGACCGAGAACCCGGGACGCCAGUCCCGGGGGAGUCGCCCUUGGAAUACCACCCUCGGCGCCUUGGCAUCCUAACCUGCGGCCGUUAUCCGGCGCAGGGACCGUGCCAGGUGGGUAGUUUGACUGGGGCGGUCGCCUCCUAAAAGGUAACGGAGGCGCACGUAAGGUCUGCUCGGGACGGUCGGCAACCGUCCUUCAGAGUGCAAGAGCGCAAGCAGGCUUGACUGCGAGACGGACAGGUCGAGCAGGUGGGAAACCAGGUUCUAGUGAUCCGGCGGCUCAGAGUGGUAUGGCCGUCGCUCAACGGAUAAAAGGUACUCCGGGGAUAACAGGCUGAUCUUCCCCAAGAGUCCACAUCGACGGGAAGGUUUGGCACCUCGAUGUCGGCUCAUCGCAUCCUGGGGCUGGAGCAGGUCCCAAGGGUAUGGCUGUUCGCCAUUCAAAGCGGUACGCGAGCUGGGUUCAGAACGUCGUGAGACAGUUCGGUCCCUAUCCUCCGUGGGCGCAGGAGAACUGAUGGAGGCUGCCCCUAGUACGAGAGGACCGGGGUGGACGGACCUCCGGUGCACGGGUUGUCGACCAACGGCACCGCCCGGUAGCUGAGUCCGGUUCGGAUAACCGCUGAAAGCAUCUAAGCGGGAAGCCGGUCCAGAGAUGAGUUCUCCCUUCGGUAAGGCCCCUCGUAGACCACGAGGUUGAUAGGCCGCAGGUGGAAGCCCCGCGAGGGGUGGAGCCGAGCGGUACUAAUCGGCCGAGCUC
rnacentral:rRNA from 1 species